GGAAGGUUGGCAGAGAGGCCGAUCGCGACACUUUGCUAAAGUGUAGAACGGAAACGUUCCAUGGGUUCGAAUCCCAUACCUUCCU
rnacentral:tRNA from 2 species